rnacentral:lncRNA from 1 species
GAAAUGGGUAAAACAGCAGCAGAAAGAAAACGAUUGAGCCGAUUGAAACAAACCGAUGAAAAUAGAAAACUAGAGAGAAUGAAGGCAGCAGAAGGAACGAGAAAAUAUCGACAGCUGAAAAAAAAAUGUCAAGACUUACCGGAAGAAAGAAAACGAAGCUGCAAAACUCCGAAUGAGAAAAUUGAGAGAACGACAGAGAAAACGUAUUGAGGAUGAAUCUCAGUCUGGUGUAAGACUGAUAUUCCCUUUUGCAAAUUGCUAGUCAUAUGGCAAAGCACGCAAGAUGGCCAUUUCAGCACUACCCCAUAGGCCUAGUCCAAGAAAAAGAAGAGAACUGAUUUGAAAAACAGAAGAUCAAUGAUGCCUUUCGCUUCAUCGAGCAGGUA